UACGUAGGGACCUAGCGUUGUCCGGAAUCAUUGGGCGUAAAGCGCGCGUAGGCGGCCCGGUAAGUCCGUUGUAAAAGUCGAAGGCUCAACCUUCGAAAGCCGAUGGAUACUGCCGGGCUAGAGUACGGAAGAGGCGAGUAGAAUUCCUGGUGUAGCGGUGGAAUGCGCAGAUAUCAGGAGGAAUACCCAUAGCGAAGGCAGCUCGCUGGGACGUUACUGACGCUGAGGAACGAAAGCCAGGGGAGCGAACGGG
rnacentral:rRNA from 1 species